rnacentral:rRNA from 1 species
UACGUAGGGUGCAAGCGUUAAUCGGAAUUACUGGGCGUAAAGCGUGCGCAGGCGGUUCGGAAAGAAAGGUGUGAAAUCCCAGGGCUUAACCUUGGAAUGGCACUUUUAACUCCCGAGCUAGAGUAUGUCAGAGGGGGGUAGAAUUCCACGUGUAGCAGUGAAAUGCGUAGAGAUGUGGAGGAAUACCGAUGGCGAAGGCAGCCCCCUGGGAUAAUACUGACGCUCAGGCACGAAAGCGUGGGGAGCAAACAGG